rnacentral:rRNA from 1 species
CCUACGGGUGGCAGCAGUGAGGAAUAUUGGUCAAUGGGCGCAGGCCUGAACCAGCCAAGUAGCGUGAAGGAAGACUGCCCUAUGGGUUGUAAACCUCUUUUAUAUGGGAAGAAUAUUGACUACGUAUACUCCGAUGCACGUACCUUAUGAAUAAGCAUCGGCUAACUCCGUGCCAGCAGCCGCGGUAAUACGGAGGAUGCGAGCGUUAUCCGGAUUUAUUGGGUUUAAAGGGUGCGUAGGCGGGUUGUUAAGUUAGUUGUGAAACUUUGGGGCUCAACCCUUAAAUUGCAAUUAAUACUGGAGUACUAGAGUACAGUCGAGGUAGGCGGAAUACGUGGAGUAGCGGUGAAAUGCUUAGAUAUCACGUAGAACCCCGAUAGCGAAGGCAGCUUACCGGACUGUUACUGACGCUGAAGCACGAGAGUGUGGGUAUCGAACAGGAUUAGAUACCCUAGUAGUC